rnacentral:lncRNA from 1 species
AAAAGGGCAUAGUUGUGUUCCAUAGCUUAUCUGCAAUUCCUUGUCAUAGAAACGUUUAUUGCAGGAUUUACUAUAUCAAAGUAUUUGCUGUCUCUCUUAGUAAUCUUGACAGAACAAAUGAGCUAUCAGAAAAUGGAUGAAUGAGUUACCUCUAGAAGCAGAGUUCAGUUGGGAAAAAUGCCGAAGUAUGGAGAAGAAGUAUCAUCAUAACCAAUACUGCUGUGCAGAGAAGAGAGUUGGGAUUACUCAAGACUCACAUAAGUACAUACACUCUCCUUAUAGCUGUAUCCCCUCUACUCCAUUGCCAGCAGUGCUCCUGCUAAGGACUGUUAGCCAGCUUUGCUUUUCAGUUCUGCAGUGUCUUCCCAAAGUCAGCCAGAAGAGCACAGCUGCAUCCUGGAGAGUGCCUGGAGCAAGCACUGCACGCCAUACAAUUCAGCAGCUGCCAUUCUCUCACCUGCAGAAACACUGA